rnacentral:rRNA from 1 species
AACGAACGCUGGCGGCAUGCCUAACACAUGCAAGUCGAACGGGGAUCAUGGCUUCGGUCAUGACCCUAGUGGCGGACGGGUGAGUAACACGUGGGAACCUGCCCUGGAGUGGGGAACAACCGCUGGAAACGGCGGCUAAUACCGCAUACGCCCCGCGGGGGAAAGGCUCGCAAGAGUCGCUCCGGGAGGGGCCCGCGCCCGAUUAGCUUGUUGGUGAGGUAACGGCUCACCAAGGCUUCGAUCGGAGCUGGUCUGAGAGGUGGUCAGCCACACUGGGACUGAGACACGGCCCAGACUCCUACGGGAGGCAGCAGUGGGGAAUUUUGGACAAUGGGGAAACCCUGAUCCAGCGAUGCCGCGUGAGUGAUGAAGGCCUUAGGGUUGUAAAGCUCUUUCGCCCGUGAAGAUGAUGACGGUAACGGGGAAGAAGCCCCGCUAACUCCGUGCCAGCAGCCGCGGUAAC